rnacentral:rRNA from 1 species
GCUAGUUGUACGAGUUUAGACUCGUAGCGAAUAGCUCAGUAACACGUGGCCAAACUACCCUUCGGACCACGAUACCCUCGGGAAACUGAGGUUAAUAGUGUAUCCCACACUCAGACUGGAAUGUCGAGUGUGACAAACGCUCCGGCGCCGAAGGAUGUGGCUGCGGCCGAUUAGGUAGACGGUGGGGUAACGGCCCACCGUGCCAAUAAUCGGUACGGGUCAUGAGAGUGAGAACCCGGAGACGGAAUCUGAGACAAGAUUCCGGGCCCUACGGGGCGCAGCAGGCGCGAAACCUUUACACUGCACGCCAGUGCGAUAAGGGGAUCCCAAGUGCGCAGGCAUAGAGCCUGCGCUUUUGUUCACCCUAGGGAGGUGACCGAAUAAGGGCUGGGCAAGACCGGUGCCAGCCGCCGCGGUAAUACCGGCAGCCCGAGUGAUGGCCGAUCUUAUUGGGCCUAAAGCGUCCGUAGCU